GUAGUCCACACCCUAAACGAUGAUAACUCGUUGUUGGCGAUAUGACAGUCAGCGACUAAGCGAAAGCAUUAAGUUAUCCACCUGGGGAGUACGGUCGCAAGACUGAAACUCAAAGGAAUUGACGGGGGCCCGCACAAGCGGAGGAGCAUGUGGUUUAAUUCGAUGAUACGCGAGGAACCUUACCUGGGCUUGAAAGUUAGUGAAUGACGCAGAAACGCGUCAGCCCGAAAGGGCACGAAACUAGGUGCUGCAUGGCUGUCGUCAGCUCGUGCCGUGAGGUGUUGGGUUAAG
rnacentral:rRNA from 1 species